UAAUGACAACGCGGUCUCCAGCAAGGACUAUGUAACUUCAGGAUAAGAAGCUUUAGAGUGGAGGAAUAGUUCUUGAUGCUACAGUUUUUGAUUGAUUAGGGGUAAUGCAAGAAGUGGCAUCAAACCUAAAGUCUUGUUGCGUCUAAACCUAAAGUCUUGUUGCGUCUUAUCACCUAAACACAGAAUUAGUAUUUUGAAUGCAGAAACAUUCCAAGUUUUAUUUUGCAAUCAAAAUAAUCAAAAAGAUAAUUUAUUU